GAUCCACUUGGAUCCAGAUCUCCAGUAACCACAUGCUGCUGUCGGUCAUGGCUGAGCUGUGAACCAGUACGCUGUCACCAGUCUGUGAGAUCAGAGUCGUGAUGUUCUUCAGCAGCGCCGCCCUGCACUUCCUGCAGCAGGAGGCUGAGAGCUAAGAGGACAUGAUGUUCUUCACCAACGCCACCGGCCAGCUGCAGGAGAACAAGAAGAGGAGGAGGAAGAGGGCCGUCCUCACCAUCACUUCCACUAGAAC